rnacentral:rRNA from 1 species
ACAGCUCAAAUUUGAAAUCUGGCGCUUUCAGCGUCCGAGUUGUAAUUUGCAGAGGGCGCUUUGGCGUUGGCAGCGGUCCAAGUUCCUUGGAACAGGUCGUCACAGAGGGUGAGAAUCCCGUACGUGGCCGCAUGUCUUCGCCGUGUAAAGCCCCUUCGACGAGUCGAGUUGUUUGGGAAUGCAGCUCUAAAUGGGAGGUAAAUUUCUUCUAAAGCUAAAUACUGGCCAGAGACCGAUA